CUAAAUACUCCUGACUGACCGAUAGUGAACCAGUACCGUGAGGGAAAGGCGAAAAGAACCCCGGCGAGGGGAGUGAAAAAGAACCUGAAACCGUGUACGUACAAGCAGUGGGAGCACAGGUUUACCUGUGUGACUGCGUACCUUUUGUAUAAUGGGUCAGCGACUUAUAUUCUGUAGCAAGGUUAACCGAAUAGGGGAGCCGGAGGGAAACCGAGUCUUAAUUGGGCGUUAAGUUGCAGGGUAUAGACCCGAAACCCGGUGAUCUAGCCAUGGGCAGGUUGAAGGUUGGGUAACACUAACUGGAGGACCGAACCGACUAAUGUUGAAAAAUUAGCGGAUGACCUGUGGCUGGGGGUGAAAGGCCAAUCAAACCGGGAGAUAGCUGGUUCUCCCCGAAAGCUAUUUAGGUAGCGCCUCGUGAAUUCAUCUCCGGGGGUAGAGCACUGUUUCGGCUAGGGGGCCAUCCCGGCUUACCAACCCGAUGCAAACUGCGAAUACCGGAGAAUGUUAUCACGGGAGACACACGGCGGGUGCUAACGUCCGUCGUGAAGAGGGAAACAACCCAGACCGCCAGCUAAGGUCCCAAAGUCAUGGUUAAGUGGGAAACGAUGUGGGAAGGCCCAGACAGCCAGGAUGUUGGCUUAGAAGCAGCCAUCAUUUAAAGAAAGCGUAAUAGCUCACUGGUCGAGUCGGCCUGCGCGGAAGAUGUAACGGGGCUAAACCAUGCACCGAAGCUGCGGCAGCGACACUCAGGUGUUGUUGGGUAGGGGAGCGUUCUGUAAGCCUGCGAAGGUGGCCUGUGAGGGUUGCUGGAGGUAUCAGAAGUGCGAAUGCUGACAUAAGUAACGAUAAAGCGGGUGAAAAGCCCGCUCGCCGGAAGACCAAGGGUUCCUGUCCAACGUUAAUCGGGGCAGGGUGAGUCGACCCCUAAGGCGAGGCCGAAAGGCGUAGUCGAUGGGAAACGGGUUAAUAUUCCCGUACUUGGUGUUACUGCGAAGGGGGGACGGAGAAGGCUAUGUUGGCCGGGCGACGGUUGUCCCGGUUUAAGCGUGUAGGCUGGUUUUCCAGGCAAAUCCGGAAAAUCAAGGCUGAGGCGUGACGACGAGGCACUACGGUGCUGAAGCAACAAAUGCCCUGCUUCCAGGAAAAGCCUCUAAGCAUCAGGUAACAUCAAAUCGUACCCCAAACCGACACAGGUGGUCAGGUAGAGAAUACCAAGGCGCUUGAGAGAACUCGGGUGAAGGAACUAGGCAAAAUGGUGCCGUAACUUCGGGAGAAGGCACGCUGACACGUAGGUGAAGUGAUUUACUCAUGGAGCUGAAGUCAGUCGAAGAUACCAGCUGGCUGCAACUGUUUAUUAAAAACACAGCACUGUGCAAACACGAAAGUGGACGUAUACGGUGUGACGCCUGCCCGGUGCCGGAAGGUUAAUUGAUGGGGUCAGCGCAAGCGAAGCUCCUGAUCGAAGCCCCGGUAAACGGCGGCCGUAACUAUAACGGUCCUAAGGUAGCGAAAUUCCUUGUCGGGUAAGUUCCGACCUGCACGAAUGGCGUAAUGAUGGCCAGGCUGUCUCCACCCGAGACUCAGUGAAAUUGAACUCGCUGUGAAGAUGCAGUGUACCCGCGGCAAGACGGAAAGACCCCGUGAACCUUUACUAUAGCUUGACACUGAACAUUGAGCCUUGAUGUGUAG
rnacentral:rRNA from 1 species